UCUACGUUAUUAAAAAAACUAAACAUGGUCGUAGUAUUUUUUAAUGGAGAAUUUCUUAUAUUGAUUUCUUUUGUAAGUUAUAAAUAUAAAGAGAUUCACUUGAAUAAAGAAGAAGGUGAUGAAGUAUAUGAGGUAAUUAUGACUGGUUUCAUCCUCGAUGUUUUCCUGGUGCAGUCUAUUUGUGUUGUGCCGAACAUCUGGAGGUUGUUUGACUGAAUGAAUAUACAACUUCCUACUUUCUGAUUCA